rnacentral:rRNA from 1 species
GACGAACGCUGGCGGCGUGCUUAACACAUGCAAGUCGAACGGAAAGGCCCUGCUUUUGCUGGGCUCUCGAGUGGCGAACGGGUGAGUAACACGUGAGUAACAUCUCCCUGACUUUCUGAUAACAUCACGAAACAGCGGCGAAUAUCGGAUAGAAUCUCCUGAUGCACGUUGGUGGAUGGAAAGUUUCGGCUGUUGGGGAUGGACUCGCGGCUUCUCAGCUUGUUUGUGGGGUAGUGGCUUACCAAGGCUUUGACGGGUAGCCGGCCUGAGAGGGUGACCGGACACAUUGGGACUGAGGUACGGACCAGACUCCUACGGUACGCAGUAGUGGAGAAUAUUGCACAAUGGGCGGAAGCCUGAUGCAGCAAUGUCGCGUGCGGGAUGACGGCCUUUGGGUUGUAAACCGCUUUCUCAUUUGACGAAGCGGUAGUGACGGUAAUUGGUAAAGAAGCACCGGCUAACUACGUG